rnacentral:tRNA from 1 species
GUUGUGGCUCAGUGAUAGAGUGCUUGCCUAGCAUGCAUGAGGCACUGGGUUCAAUUCUCAGCACCACA